rnacentral:rRNA from 1 species
UACGUAGGGGGCUAGCGUUGUCCGGAUUUAUUGGGCGUAAAGAGCGUGUAGGCGGCCAGGUAGGUCUGCUGUGAAAACUCGAGGCUCAACCUCGAGACGCCGGUGGAAACCGUAAAGCUAGAGUCCGGAAGAGGAGAGUGGAAUUCCCGGUGUAGCGGUGAAAUGCGCAGAUAUCGGGAAGAACACCUAUGGCGAAGGCAGCUCUCUGGGACGGUACUGACGCUGAGACGCGAAAGCGUGGGGAGCGAACAGG